GGGGCUGCGCGUGCGCGGGCGCGGGCGCGGGCGCGGGCGGGGGGGUGGGCUUCUCUGCUGCAUCUGAAGACCACUGAUCUCACCGUUUUGAAGCGCUUUUCUUCCGCUCAUCCGCAGCUGGGCUGCAGCAGCGGGGUUGGGUGUGUCAGGGUCUUCUACCAAUGUCGCUCUUUGACCAAAGCCAACCAGAAGCCAGAGGGCAGGAGACCCAAGUGAAGCAAUCCGUGCAGGUCUACCUCCCUGAGCACAGGAGGUGAGGAGCUGUCCACGCCAGCGUCUUCCCCCAGGUAGCCCGUUGGCCAACUCGUCUUCUCCUGCGGUAACAAUCCAAGUGACAACAAGUCCCGUAGCCCUUGGAAAUGUCUGGAGACCCGCUCCCUUCUCUCUGCCCGGGAGGUGAUUUACGGAAUCCCCUGGCCCUCAGAAUGUCCGAAUCCCUUCACCCCCACCCUGCCCCACACCCUCACCCCGGAGGUGGUUUACCGGCAUAAAAAGGUCUUGUAGGGCCGGGCGCGGUGGCUCACGCCUGUAAUCCCAGCACUUUGGGAGGCCGAGACGGGUGGAUCACAAGGUCAAGAGAUUGAGACCAUCCAGGUCAACAUGGUGAAACCCCGUCUCUACUAAAAAUACAAAAAAAUUAGCUGGGCAUGGUGGCGCAUGCCUGUAAUCCCAGCUACUCGGGAGGCUGAGGCAGGAGAAUUGCCUGAGCCCAGGAGGCGGAGGUUGCGGUGAGCCGAGAUUGCGCCAUUGCACUCCAGCCUGGGUAACAAGAGCCGAAACUCCGUCUCAAAAAAAAAAAAAAAAAAAAGGUCUUGUAACCCUCCUUUCGGGGCCACGGGUUGGAGAGACGUGAGUCCUCUGUGGUCACCGGCAAUAAAGACCCUGCAAUUUGGCAUAUUUUUGUCUUGGUGUUAAUUUUAUACUUGAUACAAAUACUUUGAUGUAUUUAUUUUUUGAGACAGGGUCUUCUUGUUCUUGCCUGGGCCAGAGUGCUGUGAUUCGAUCUCUGCUCACUACGACCUCUGCCUCCCGAGCUCAAGCCAUCCUCCCACCUCAGCCUCUCAAGUAGCUGGGACCCACCAUGCCUGGCCAAUUUAUGCAUUUUUAGUACAGACAGGGUUUUACCAUGUUGCCCAGGCUGGUCUAGAACUCCUAAGCUCAAGCCGUCCUCCCCUCGGCCUCCCAAAGUGCUGGGAUUAUAGUUGUGAGCCACUGAAUCCCGCCUCAAUUUUUAAUUAUAAAAUAUUUCACAUAUGCAAAUACUAAAAAUAAGGUAAUAUAAUACCUAUUAAUAUAUUAAUGUACACAUUAUACAAAGUAAAUGUAAUAUCACUAUAGAAAAUUUUUCCUCUUAAUUUUUUUUUAAUUGAGGGUACUAGUCUGCUACCUCUUAAAUUUUUUUUUUUUUUUUUAAAGACGGGGUUUCACCAUGUUGGUCAGGCUGGUCUUGAACUCCCGACCUCAGGUGAUCUGCCUGCCUUGGCCUCCAGAGUGCUUGGAUUACAGGUGUGAGCCACCACACCAGCCUAAAAUUUUUUAAAGAAAGCUCACUCUUCUCCCAUUCUUUUCCAAUCCCUUCUUCCUUAGAGAUAAUCUUUAUCUUAAAAAUAGAUGAAUUUCAUUCUCAUGCAGAUAUAGCUUUAUACAUUCAAUUGUUUUGCAUGUUUUUAAUUUUCACAUGUAGAAUACACUGUAUGUGCAUUUUAUAAAUUGCCUUUUUCACUCUAUGUUUUCACGACUGAGCCAUAUGGAUAUAUAGGUCAAUCAUAAAUCAUUCAUUUUAAUUGCUAUCUGGAAUUCUGUAUGAAUAAACCGCAGCUUAUUUAAUCUACUUUCCUCCUAUAGGAAUAAUUAGGUUGUUCUAUUAGACAAUUCUGUUAGACUUAUCACUAGGUAUUCUGUACAUUUUGCACCUAGGCUAAAUGGCAUCUUUGCAAAUAUCACAUACUUGUUGAUUGUUGGUGCAACCAACAUGCUAUUGAUGUUUGUAUAUUGAUCUUAUAUCUGUUGAUUUUGCUCAACUGUUUUAUUCAUUCCAAAAGCUUAUCUCUAAGUAGAUUUUCUUAUGGGGGAAUGGUGAUCAACUUACUGAGCUCACCAUUUUCUUAAUAUUUUUUACUAAAACAAGAUAGAGAAAUUCGGAUGCAUUCUAGAAUUCUCGGAGAAGGGACGACUUGAAAGCUAGAGUAACAGAGAGGCUGGUGGGACUACUGCUUUUGAAAGAAGCAGCCACAGCUGGGGGACUGCUCACUGAAAGCUUCAUGUACAGAGAACAUAAGGGCUUUUGAAAUGGAGUAACAUGAAGAACUAGCUGGGGGCCCCAUGAGAUGGCAGAUGGCAGCAUAUUCUGUAAUGUGACCCCCUCCUCUGUCUUCAUGGUUUUAGUAAAAAUGGAAAAUGGUCAUAUGCUUGGUCUCAAUGAGCUUUUUUCAGAAACUAUAAGGAGAUGUAGCUCUGUAUAUAACGUACAUGAUGCAAGGAUCACAGAACUGCAGUCGCCUUGUAACCACCAGGGCCAGGAUCCAAACAAGCCUAAGAAAGUGGAUUCCAAGAUCCUGAAUAGGGACUGAUCUGCUCAGGCUUGGGAAGUGGGAUUCAAACCAAGUUUCCUAAAUUUUAAGGGCAGGAAAUCUCCCAAAUGAUAUUUGGGUUUUCAUCAACAGCCAUCUGAUUUGUAUGCUUCCUUUUUUUUUUCCAGACAGAGUCUUGCUCUGUCGCCCAGGCUGGAGUGCAGUGGCAUGAUCUCAGCUCACUGCAAACUCCGCCUCUAUUCUCCUGCCUUAGCCCCCUGAGUAGCUGGGACUACAGGCAUAUGCCGCCACACCCUGCUAAUUUUUGUAUUAUUAGUAGAGAUGGGGUUUUCCGUAUUGACUGGGCUGGUCUUGGACUCCUGACCUCAUGAUCCACCCUCCUUGGCCUCGCAAAGUGCUGGGAUUACAGGCGUGAGCCACCAUGCCUGGCCUGAUUUAUAUGCUUCCUAUGUGGAUUAUACAAUGUAAAAGGACAAGGUUCCAUUUUGUUUUGUUUUUGGAGACAGUCUCGCUGGAGACUCUGCUGUAAUUCUAGCACUUUGGGAAGCCUAGGCAGGUAGAUAACUUGAGGCCAGGAGUUCAAGACCAGCCUGGCCAACGUGGUGAAACCCCGUCUCUACUAAAAAUAUAAAAAUUAGCCUGGCAUGGUGGUGCACACUCAUAAUUCCAGCUACUCAGGAGGCUGAGGCACAAGAAUCGCAUGAACCUGGGAGGCAGAAGUUGCGGUGAGCCAAGAUUGCACCACUGCACUCCAGCCUGGGUGAUAGAGUGAGACUCUGUCAAAAAAAAAAAAAAAGAGGUGGCAGAUACAAAUGUUUUCUCCUUUGAAGUUUUGCAUAGAACAGUUUCUACGUGCCUAGUCCUGGCAUUUGGGAAAUUAGAGAAGUUCUUUAUCAUGUUAGAGAAGCUCUUCAUGCAGCUUCCAUAGCACUUGCUGCAAUAGUGCUGCAUAACAAGGCAUCCCAAAACUUGGUGGCAUACAACACUAAGCAUAUCUUUAUUGCUGUGCAUCUGCAGGUCAGCUGGAAUGGUCUCCAGACUAAGGAUCUGUGCCAUGAGAUUUGUUCUGUGGUCCAAGCUGAGGGCCAAUGACUGCCUGGGGCAUGUUUUUCUCCUAGUGGAGGUCAGAAGCUCCCAGAGGCCUGGGUGCAGAACUGACACACUGUCAACUCCAUCCACCUAUCAUUGGCCACGGUAGGCCACGUGGCCAAGCCCAACAUUCAUGGGAGAAGGAAGUACUAUUUCCCCACGUAAGUCAAGUAGGAAAGAGAAGGAAUAUACUAAACAAAAAGCUCACUUUUAUGCUUUCUGUCUAUGACUUUAUAAUUUUGAUCAUGUUUCCUUUACUUGUUUAGAAGGAAAAAUUCUAAUCCCUUUCUUCUCCCCAUUUCUGCUUGGCUUUUGUCUCUGGUCUCCUCACGUGUUAAUGUGAACCCUUUCGUUGGCCUUCUUGCUUAUAUGUCCAUAUUAAACUGCUCCGCUUCAGGGAAAAGUUGGAAAUGGAUUCUGAUAUCCUUUUCUGGGACCAAGAUGAAUAAAUGAAGUGAAAGGAAACCAAUAUUUUUGGAGUUAGUUACAUGCCAAGCAUCAGGCCAGGUAUUCUUUAUACCAUGUUAGGCAUUCUUCAUGCACAGUCUCUUUCCAUCCUGAUAAACUCAAAUGCCUCUAGGAACUAGGUAGGCAAAUGAAUGAGUGAAUGGGAUAUGAUUUUCUCGCUUCAUACAUCACUGCAUUUCACCGCAGUACCACUUAUUCCCAAUCGAAAGGAACUCUUGUUGAAAUGUAAGCCCCGUUUUUCAGUUAAUGAUUUUUUCAGCAGGCAUCUUUUCUCUAUCACAGCUCUUCAUAUGGACCACUUCAGAAUAGCAUGUUACAUUGUCUUUUUUGAUAUAGACUUAUUUUGCUAGUUAAACAUUUAGAAAUAUUCUUUUCCAAGAAGAAAAAAAAAAAGGAAAUAUUCUUUUCCAGAUGGUGCGAUGGCUCACACCCGUAAUCUCAGCACUUUGGGAGGCUGAGACAGGUGGAUUGUCUGAGGUCAGGAGUUCAAGACCAGCCUGGCCAACAUAGUGAAACCCCAUCUCUACUAAAAAUACAAAAAAUUAGCUGGGCGUGGUGGUGGGCACCUGUAAUCCCAGCUACCCAGAAGGCUGAGGCAGGAGAAUCCUUUGAACCCAGGAGGCAGAGGUUGUAGUGAGCCAAGAUUGUGCUGUUGCACUCCAGCCUGGGCAACAAGAGCGAAACUCUGUCUGGGGGGAAAAAAAAGGAAAUAUUCUUUUCCAUAAAGAACACUGCUUUCACAUAAUUUUCUUUAGGUACAUAUUCCUCAUUUUUUAUAUUUCAAUUUCCCACUUUUGUUAGAAAUAUGUAUAAAGAGAUAGUUCACUUUCCUCUUGAUUAUAAGAAAACAGCUACACAGUAGUGAUGACCAAUGGCACCUGACACUCAGCUGUAUUGUCGGGGGUUUAUCCUGGGAAUGGUGGGCACCAUGGUGAAGUAGAGAAUGCAUAUCCAACCUACGUGGGGAAGCAUCACUCAGCUCCAGGCAGUUAUGGCCAGUUAGGAAUUCAAGCCCAGCAUUGCUAGAUCUUCUCUUUCUCAAGACAAGUCAGGAAUCCAGGGUUUUUUUUCACCUAAAAUUUCCUAAUUUUUAAGUAUCACCAACAUUUAAAUGUCGGGACAGACUAGGCUCUGUUGUGUAACGUAUCAUUGGUUCUGCACGUGAUGCCAAACAUGAUGCAGGUCAGUAACACUGUUUCAAUGGGCAACUCAGGAAACCAGAAUUCCUUUAUUAUGUGAUGCUGCAGUCUCAACACGUGGUUUCCAAGGUCAUCACCACAGAGGAAGAAAGGGGGAAAAUGCACACCAGCACUUAAGUGCUUUGGCCUAGAAAUGACACACAUCAUUUAAACUCACAGUCUAUUGAUCAGGUGGAGUUGCUUGAUUCCAAAGAAUGCAGGGAAAUGAACAGGAGCAGUUGGACAUUUGAUGACCACUAACUGCUUCUACCAUAGCAAUUAAUUCAAAGCAAACAAACAAACAGACAAACCAGCAAAAUCUCUGAGCAUAUCAAACAAAAUACAAGUAGUCUAGACCCAAUCCAGGUGCUGUUACUAGAGUAAUUAUUUUAUAAUUGAAAAAAAAUUGAAGCUCGACAAGAUUAAGUACCUUGCCCAAGCUACACAGUUAAUGAGUGGCACAGUAAGACCAUAUUCUUUUUCCACAUCAUGCUAAUAAUGGGUACUUUUUUUUUUUUUGAGAUGGAGUUUCUCUCUUGUUGCCCAGGCUGGAGUGCAAUUGUGGGAUCUUGGCUCAGUGUAAGCUCCACCUUCCGGGUUCAAGAGAUUCUCCUGCCUUAGCCUCCCAGGCAGCUGGGAUGACAGGCAUGUGCCACUGUGCCUGGCUAAUUUUGUAUUUUUAGUAGAAACGGGGUUUCUCCAUGUUGGUCAGGCUGGUCUUGGACUCCUGACCUCAGGCGAUCCACCCACCUCAGCCUUACAAAGUCUUGGGAUUAUAGGCGUGAGCCACAGAGCCUGGCCUAAUAAUGGGUACUUUUUAACUAACUAAAUGAUACAGAUGGACACCCAUGCUCCUAAGCACCCCCUUAGAACUAUUUCAUGGCUGUUAUUAAGUAAAAUCUCACAAUUAAACACAAACUCUAUUAACUAAUAUUUGGUCUAUAGACUUUGGUGUAGUCCAGUGGUUCUUCAACUUGAAUGAGCAUCAGAAACAACUGGAGAGUUCGUUCCCCUGGUGGAGGUCAGAAUAACUGGAGGGUUUGUUCCAACACAGAUCGUGGAGUCCCUCCCGCCCCCAGAGUUUCUAAGUCAUUAGGUCUGGGGUGAGUGGGUGGGUAAGAUUUUGCAUUUCUAAUGAAUUCAUAUGUGAUGCUGAUGCUGCUGGUCUGGGUGGGCACCCUCUCAGAGCCACUGGACUAGUGUUAGGUCCGGAAUCCUAGACUUAGCGCAGACAACAAACUGGUGUGAAUGGGCCAUUUAACCUCUGAGUUUCCAUUGCCUCAUCAGUACAAUAAGCGUUUUGGACCAGUUCUACUGUUAUAUGAGUCUAUGAUUAAAAACUGUCUUCAAACAAAUAUUAAAAUACCUUGGCAAGGGACAUAUAUUAGCUGGGGAGGGGCAUGAGGAGGAGGCUUCUGCGAUGGAAAUGUUCUAGUUCUUGGUCUGGAUGGUUGUUGUAUAUGUGUACCUAGGUCAAAAUGUAUCAAGCUGUGCAUUUAAGAUUAAUGUACGUUAUAUAAUUUAAUAUAUGUAUGUGAACUUCAAUUAAAAGAUUAAAAAAUGCUUCUUGCCAAAAAUUGAAUUUAAAUGUUUGUAUAUUCUAAUUUUUAUUUUUAGUGUGACACAGCUAAUAUAAUUUUUUUAUUGCUUGCAUAAAUAAUAUCCACCAAUGUCACUCUAAGUAAUGGGAAAAAUAAGGCUUUAGCAUCCAUACAUUUGUACAGCUAGCGGAGUGUAAAACUGCAGCCAGUAUGAACUUAGCUCUUUAUUCUGCUCACCUGGAGAGACCAAGGCAGUAAGGAAUCUGGAAGCAUUGCAGAGGUGGAAAUGGGAGAGCAUAUUCUUCUGUGUUUCAUAAAUUCAACCUGGAUGUCACAAAAACAGUUGGUUCCCAAGUGAGCUGGGUGAAUAUUGUUGCAACUUCAUUAAGAUACAACGAAUUUUGCCUGUUCCCAAAUAAGGGAGAGAAGAAUCACGUGUGCAUUUGCAUUGACUCAAUUGAAUGCAUUGGUCCAAAAAAUAAAACACAAAAAAAGAACCAGAAGAAUAUUAAAUAGUACAGUCUUAUAUUCUGGACCAAAAGCAUAUGUCCUGGAACGAGAGAGAUGUGGGAGAUGUGAAUCUGCAGAUCCCUAAGUCAAUCUCAGUCCUGGACUUUCAGUAAAGUGCUGGAGCUAAAGAGUACAUCUCUUCCCAAUUCUGUGUUCACUUACAUUAUGUUGGGAGCUUCAAUCUGGCCAUUGGGGAAAUUUACACCAUGGAUAUCAGCAAAUGCUACAAAUCAGGAUGCUUUAUUUCAGGGAGGCAGCCUACCAGCACAUUACUGCUCACCUACUUCUUGUGGUGGAGACAUGUUGAUCAUAUUGAAUAUGCUGUUAGCAUAUAAAGGUAUGGAUUUUUUUCAUACAACAUGAAGUCUAACUGUAACUAUAACAGGCAUUUCUGCUGCAGCUACCAAAUUAUAAUCACAAGGUAGCUGAAUGAGCAGAGAGUUAGAUAUGUGAUUUAUUUUUUUAUUUUUUUUGAGACGGAGUUUCACUCUUGUUACCCAGGCUGGAGUGCAAUGGCACGAUCUCGGCUCACCACAACCUCCGCCUCCUGGGUUCAGGCAAUUCUCCUGCCUCAGCCUCCUGAGUAGCUGGGAUUACAGGCACACACCACCGUGCCCAGCUAAUUUUUUGUAUUUUUAGUAGAGACGGGGUUUCACCAUGUUGACCAGGAUGGUCUCGAUCUGUUGACCUCGUGAUCCACCCGCCUCGGCCUCCCAAAGUUGUUAGGCUGAGCUUCUCAAACUUCAGACACAGUUUGGCUCAAACAGUUAAGGCUGACCUUCUCAAACUUCAGUGUGCACAUGAAUCACCAGGGAUCGUGUAAAAAUGCAGAUAAUGGUUCAGAAUAUCAGAGGUCAGGACUGAGAUUCUGCAUUUCUAACAAGUUCUCAGAUGAUAAUGCUGGUCUGUGGAUCACAUUUUGAGUGGAAGGACCUACGAUGUCAUACCUAACAUUAUUGGUAUUUUCUGUAACAAUCAGAGGAAAACAGCUAAUGCAGCCAGAGUACCGCAUUGGGAUCCAUGGGCUAGGGGUGCUUUGGGUGCCUGGAUUUGGAGUAAGUGGACACUAGCUAAAGUUCAACGCUACAAUUUGCUCUAACUGAACCUCAAGCCCCUGAGCUUGAGAAUGAGAAUCAAGCUAAAGGGGAAACCCCUUAUAAAGCCAUCAGAUCUCAUGAGAUUUAUUACCAUGAGAACAGUAUGGGGGAACCACCCCAACGAUUCAAUUAUCUCCCGCCAGGUCCCUCCCACAACAUGUGGGAAUUAUGGAGCUACAAUUUAAGAUGAGAUUUGGAUGGGUACACAGCAAAACCAUAUCAUGUUGUAAUGAUAUGAGUCCUAGGUUGAUUGCAUGUAUACAAAUGGCUUCAUUUGUAAACAGCAGAUGCUCUGGACUUGCAGUCUAGAACAGCACUUCUCAGACUUAAAUGUACAAACAAAUCACCAAGGGAUCUUGCGAAACAUGCAGAUUUUGAUUCCGUAGAUUCUUGGAAGAAGCAAUACGCCAUGGACCUUCAAUGCCCCUAUGUGUUCUUACUCUGUAUAACAAGAAUGCAAGGCUCUGACUGCUUAUAACCAGGACCAAUUCUUAAGGUUGUUUUUGCAGAGAACAACAUCAUGGAAAGAAGUAAUUUCCCUCCCCAGCACUCUCCACCCUAAACAAAAAACAAAGAGCAGGCUUGCUUACUGCUCACUAUAAAAACAGUGAAUUCCCUAAUCUCAGUGUGUCUCAGCUGUCACCUGGGCCUCUCUACAUCUCCCCUAUGAGACUUGGGGGCUAUGGGAAACUGAUGAAAAACAACAUUAUACUCACGACACCAGCUGUGAUGUGAGUAAUAAAAUCCUUUAUCUCUGACCCAGGACUUGUGUGCUCUGUCAGCAUCCAUGAGACAGUAACAGGCUAACUUAUUCGCCUGCAAGUGGGAUAAAAUAUCAGAUCCUUCAUAGACACUGACAUAGUUCUUGGGGUGGUACCUGAUAUACCACCUUUCUAACCACCAGGUUCUUCUGGUACUACUCAUCCACGGACCACAUUUUGAGUAGUAAUAGUUUUGAAAUAUUAAGCCCUGGAUUUACCACUAACGAUAUGGCCUUGGGCAAGCUCCUUCACAUUUCUGAGACUGUUUCCGUAUCUACAAACAGAUGAGUUUGAAGGUCUCUUCCAAAAUUAACUCUAUGAUUCCAGGUCACUAUUACCAUCAACAGGUCGUGCCUCUUCCCAUUCUUUCAUUCCUUCAACCAACACUUUAUAUACCCAUCAUUUGCAAGACGCCAGGAAUAGGUUGAGUGACAGCUGGAUGUGCGCAGAGUUGGGCAAACGAUGAGCAGUGAAAGCUGCCCCAUAGGGAGACAUACAGACAGUGCUAAGCAAGUCAAUUGCCUCCUUCAACUGGUUUAUGAUUUAUUCCAAACCAAGGCACUUUUGCCAGUGAAAGAGGAGGUUAUUAAUAGCUACACCAGGAUGACAGGGAUAAACUGGGACAAUGCUGGAGGCCCUAUUGUUAGGGCCCCGCAAAGCCCUAGU